GAUGAACGCUGGCGGCGUGCCUAAUACAUGCAAGUCGAGCGAACAGACGAGGCGCUUGCUCCUUUGACGUUAGCGGCGGACGGGUGAGUAACACGUGGAUAACCUACCUAUAAGUCUGGGAUAACUUCGGGAAACCGGAUCUAAUACCGGAUAAUAUAUUGAACCGCAUGGUUCAAUAGUGAAAGACGGUUUUGCUGUCACUUAUAGAUGGAUCCGCGCCGCAUUAGCUAGUUGGUAAGGUAACGGCUUACCAAGGCAACGAUGCGUAGCCGACCUGUGAGGGGGAUCGGCCACACUGGAAGGGAGACGCGGUCCAGACUCCUACGGGAGGCAGCAGUAGGGAAUCGUCCGCAGUGGGCGAAAGCCUGACGGAGCAACGCCGCGUGAGUGAUGAAGGUCUUCGGAUCGUAAAACUCUGUUAUUAGGGAAGAACAAAUGUGUAAGUAACUAUGCACGUCUUGACGGUACCUAAUCAGAAAGCAACGGCUAACUACGUG
rnacentral:rRNA from 1 species